AGAGUUUGAUCAUGGCUCAGAUUGAACGCUGGCGGCAGGCUUAACACAUGCAAGUCGAGCGGGGGAAGGUAGCUUGCUACCGGACCUAGCGGCGGACGGGUGAGUAAUGCUUAGGAAUCUGCCUAUUAGUGGGGGACAACAUCUCGAAAGGGAUGCUAAUACCGCAUACGUCCUACGGGAGAAAGCAGGGGAUCUUCGGACCUUGCGCUAAUAGAUGAGCCUAAGUCGGAUUAGCUAGUUGGUGGGGUAAAGGCCUACCAAGGCGACGAUCUGUAGCGGGUCUGAGAGGAUGAUCCGCCACACUGGGACUGAGACACGGCCCAGACUCCUACGGGAGGCAGCAGUGGGGAAUAUUGGACAAUGGGGGGAACCCUGAUCCAGCCAUGCCGCGUGUGUGAAGAAGGCCUUAUGGUUGUAAAGCACUUUAAGCGAGGAGGAGGCUACUCUAGUUAAUACCUAGAGAUAGUGGACGUUACUCGCAGAAUAAGCACCGGCUAACUCUGUGCCAGCAGCCGCGGUAAUACAGAGGGUGCGAGCGUUUAAUUCGGAUUUACUGGGCGUAAAGCGUGCGUAGGCGGCUUAUUAAGUCGGAUGUGAAAUCCCGAGCUUAACUUGGGAAUUGCAUUCGAUACUGGUGAGCUAGAGUAUGGGAGAGGAUGGUAGAAUUCCAGGUGUAGCGGUGAAAUGCGUAGAGAUCUGGAGGAAUACCGAUGGCGAAGGCAGCCAUCUGGCCUAAUACUGACGCUGAGGUACGAAAGCAUGGGGAGCAAACAGGAUUAGAUACCCUGGUAGUCCAUGCCGUAAACGAUGUCUACUAGCCGUUGGGGCCUUUGAGGCUUUAGUGGCGCAGCUAACGCGAUAAGUAGACCGCCUGGGGAGUACGGUCGCAAGACUAAAACUCAAAUGAAUUGACGGGGGCCCGCACAAGCGGUGGAGCAUGUGGUUUAAUUCGAUGCAACGCGAAGAACCUUACCUGGCUUGACAUACUAGAAACUUUCCAGAGAUGGAUUGGUGCCUUCGGGAUCUAGAUACAGGUGCUGGCAUGGCUGUCGUCAGCUCGUGUCGUGAGAUGUUGGGUUAGUCCCGCAACGAGCGCAAACCCUUUUCCUUACUUGCCAGCAUUUCGGAUGGGAACUUUAAGGAUACUGCCAGUGACAAACUGGAGGAAGGCGGGGACGACGUCAAGUCAUCAUGGCCCUUACGGCCAGGGCUACACACGUGCUACAAUGGUCGGUACAAAGGGUUGCUACACAGCGAUGUGAUGCUAAUCUCAAAAAGCCGAUCGUAGUCCGGAUUGGAGUCUGCAACUCGACUCCAUGAAGUCGGAAU
rnacentral:rRNA from 1 species